UACGGCUACCUUGUUACGACUUCACCCCAGUCAUAAGCCACACCGUGGUAAGCGUCCUCCCGAGGGUUAGACUACCUACUUCUGGUGCAACCUACUUCCAUGGUGUGACGGGCGGUGUGUACAAGACCCGGGAACGUAUUCACCGCGACGUUGCUGAUUCGCGAUUACUAGCGAUUCCGACUUCACGGAGUCGAGUUGCAGACUCCGAUCCGGACUACGACCGGCUUUCUGAGAUUGGCUCCCCCUCGCGGGUUUGCAGCCCUCUGUACCGGCCAUUGUAGCACGUGUGUAGCCCUGCCCAUAAGGGCCAUGAUGACUUGACGUCGUCCCCGCCUUCCUCCAGCUUGUCGCUGGCAGUCUCCCUAGAGUUCCCGGCCGAACCGCUGGCAACUAAGGAUAAGGGUUGCGCUCGUUGCGGGACUUAACCCAACAUCUCACGACACGAGCUGACGACAGCCAUGCAGCACCUGUUUUCCAGGCCCGAAGGCACUCCCGUAUCUCUACAGGAUUCUGUCAAUGUCAAGGGCAGGUAAGGUUCUUCGCGUUGCAUCGAAUUAAACCACAUGCUCCACCGCUUGUGCGGGUCCCCGUCAAUUCCUUUGAGUUUUACCGUUGCCGGCGUACUCCCCAGGCGGAGAACUUAAUGCGUUGGCUGCGACACCGAAAGGCUAAAUCCUCCCGACAUCUAGUUCUCAUCGU
rnacentral:rRNA from 1 species